GUGGGUAUGGUGCAGUUGGUUAACGCGUCGGAUUGUGGUUCCGAAGACCGUGGGUUCGAGUCCCACUACCCACC
rnacentral:tRNA from 1 species